AUGAAAAGUAGUAGUAUCUCAUUGAUUCUUUUAGAUACCCUAUAAAAUGAGCCAUUAUAGAUCUAUCCUCUAAUUUAUUAACCAUCUGUCUCUUGACAUAGGCAGGACAUUCUCAAGUCUUAAGAUAACUAGACUUGGCUUUUUACUAUACCAUAUCUCAUAAGGUGUGGUAGAAAAGAUUUUGAUGGAACUCUAUUCAAUAGGUGAAUAACAGUUAAUAAGGCAUAUCCCCAAAGAUAUAAGGGUAGAUUAGUGAAGCUCAUCAUGGACCUAACCAUAUC
rnacentral:lncRNA from 1 species